CGGUAACCUACCCUCGGGAGGGGGAUAACCCCGGGAAACUGGGGCUAAUUCCCCAUAGGCCUGAGGUACUGGAAGGUCCUCAGGCCGAAAGGGACUUAUGUCCGCCCGAGGAUGGGCCGGCGGCCGAUUAGGUAGUUGGUGGGGUAAUGGCCCACCAAGCCGAAGAUCGGUACGGGCUGUGAGAGCAGGAGCCCGGAGAUGGACACUGAGACACGGGUCCAGGCCCUACGGGGCGCAGCAGGCGCGAAACCUCCGCAAUGCGGGAAACCGCGACGGGGGGACCCCGAGUGCCGUGGCAACGCCACGGCUUUUCCGGAGUGUAAAAAGCUCCGGGAAUAAGGGCUGGGCAAGGCCGGUGGCAGCCGCCGCGGUAAUACCGGCGGCCCGAGUGGUGGCCGCUAUUAUUGGGCCUAAAGCGUCCGUAGCCGGGCCCGUAAGUCCCUGGCGAAAUCCCACGGCUCAACCGUGGGGCUUGCUGGGGAUACUGCGGGUCUUGGGACCGGGAGAGGCGGGGGGUACCCCUGGGGUAGGGGUGAAAUCCUAUAAUCCCAGGGGGACCGCCAGUGGCGAAGGCGCCCCGCUGGAACGGGUCCGACGGUGAGGGACGAAGGCCAGGGGAGCAAACCGGAUUAGAUACCCGGGUAGUCCUGGCUGUAAAGGAUGCGGGCUAGGUGUCGGGUGAGCCUCGAGCUCGCCCGGUGCCGUAGGGAAGCCGUUAAGCCCGCCGCCUGGGGAGUACGGCCGCAAGGCUGAAACUUAA
rnacentral:rRNA from 1 species